CGGUCCCCACGCCUUAUAUUGAGGCCUGUCGGGUGACGACCCGGCUAUGGUGCUAAACCCUGUGCGGAAUAGGCGACGCGGACCCGGGGGCAGUACCCGGCGCCUCCACCAAUUCCUCUUUCCCCCUAUGGGGGCGAGCCAGGUUCGACGCGCGCAGUAAAGGCACAGGUUGUACUCGGCAUGGUACCGCCGUUAUCGGGCCGUUUUCACAGGUGCCAACGACAACGACGUGGCGCUCGCUGCUGCAUAACAUGCGGUAAGCGCGGUCCCGGAGGGGCACCGGGCAACAGAAGCCCC
rnacentral:tmRNA from 1 species